rnacentral:lncRNA from 1 species
UGGAAAGCCCCCAUCUAUGGAGAAUUUGGGGUGAAGCUGGAACAGGCUCCUGUCUCUCCUAGCAUCAACAGCAGGAAGGAACAGCUGGUGUAACCUGGGUAUGAGCACAAGAAACAAAGCUGAAAUGAAAGAAACAGCAAAAUCCAGAGCUGCACUGGGAUCUCCACUUCUGCUCCCUCACACAAAAGAAUCCUGGGCUGCACCAAGGUGAGGCCUUUCCUCCUACUGAGCA